UACGUAGGGGGCAAGCGUUGUCCGGAAUCAUUGGGCGUAAAGAGCGCGUAGGCGGUCCGGUAAGUCGGUUGUGAAAACUGGGGGCUCAACCCUCAGAGGCCGACCGAUACUGUCGGGCUAGAGUCCGGAAGAGGCGAGUGGAAUUCCUGGUGUAGCGGUGAAAUGCGCAGAUAUCGGGAAGAACACCCGUGGCGAAGGCGGUUCUCUGGGACGGUACUGACGCUGAGACACGAAAGCGUGGGGAGCGAACAGG
rnacentral:rRNA from 1 species